rnacentral:rRNA from 1 species
AAAUGUGGCUGCACCUUCUUGUCAGCAAUCGAUCUCUUCAUAUCUCAGAAGCUAAACAAGGCCAGGCCUGGUUAGUAGUUGGAUGGGAGUCCGCUGGGAAUAUCAGGUGCCACAGUGG